rnacentral:rRNA from 1 species
CACGUAGUUAGCCGGUGCUUCUUCCCCCAUCUACCGUCAGAAACCCUUCGUCGAUGGCGAAAGGAGUUUACAACCCGAAGGCCGUCAUCCCCCACGCGGCGUCGCUGCAUCAGGCUUCCGCCCAUUGUGCAAUAUUCCCCACUGCUGCCUCCCGUAGGAGUCUGGGCCGUGUCUCAGUCCCAAUGUGGCCGUCCACCCUCUCAGGCCGGCUACCCGUCGCCGCCUUGGUAGGCCAUUACCCCACCAAUAAGCUGAUAGGCCGCGGGCCCAUCCCACACCGAAAAAACUUUCCACCACAGCAUCCACACCAUGGUCCUAUCCGGUAUUAGACCCAGUUUCCCAGGCUUAUCCCGAAGUGCAGGGCAGGUCACCCACGUGUUACUCACCCGUUCGCCACUCGUGUACCCCAGCAAGCUGGAGCCUUACCGUUCGACUUGCAUGUGUUAAGCACGCCGCAGCGUCGUCCUGAGCCAGGACUACGAAACCUCU